UACGGAGGGGGCGAGCGUUGUCCGAAGUUACUGGGCGUAAAGCGCGCGUAGGCGGGUUGGUAAGUCCGCUGUGAAAGCCCGGAGCUUAACUCCGGAGGGUCGGUGGAUACUGCCAGUCUUGAAGGUGCUAGGGGGAGAUGGAAUUACCGGUGUAGCGGUGAAAUGCGUAGAGAUCGGAAAGAACACCAAUGGCGAAAGCACUCUGCUGGGCCGACACUGACACUGAGAGACGAAAGCUAGGGGAGCGAAUGGG
rnacentral:rRNA from 1 species